rnacentral:lncRNA from 1 species
UUUUUUUUGCCUUUUUUCAACAUGUAAAUGAACGACAAACGUCUCGCACAUGAAUUUUGAACUAUGCUACGAGGAGCACGUGAACUUCUUGCAACAAACCUUUUAAGGUUUUAGUUUUCUAUUCUUAUAUUCUUUAUCUCGUAACGCAUUCUGUGUAGUAGUUGAAUUUCCCGUUGUUUUCAUCUUGAACUUUUGUCACAUAUUUUUGUUCAACCUCACUCACAAGAAUUUUUGAACUUUUCUCGGGCUAAGCACUUCUAGCAACAUCAUACUGCUCGUUAUUUUCAUUUUGAACUUCUGUCACAUAUUUUUGUUCGUAAUUUCUCACCCGUUCAUCGGUGUUACACAAAUCAUAUACCUUUUUAGAAACCUGUUGAAAGACGCGGCUUUUGCUAAUACGGUUAAACUUUUGUUUUGAGCAAACGUACACUGAUUUUUAACCGUUUAUUUUGAAAUAGAGCAUACAAUAUAGCCUUGGAAAGUUGUUGAAUAGGAGAAACUUUUUUCACAGAGAGCAUUUUAUUUUCAAAUUUUUAAUGGAUUAGGAGAAUUAUUUUAAAACACUAAAACAAUAUAUUUUGUGUUUUAACAUGUAAAUACACGGUGAACCUCUCCCACAAGAAUUUUUGAACUUUCUCCGACCGAGGACUUGAACUUCUAGCAAGAAAAAAAUCCGACUUUGCCUUUUUAUUCCUUUUUCUCAUAUGAAAGACACAUCAUGUAGUACGUGAACUUCUCGCUGCUAUCACUUUGAAAUGCUCUCUCCUCUUUUUUUGCCCCGACUCCUAAGGCACUCAUCAAAAUUGAGCAUUUAAAUCCUAGGAUUUUCAUAAUCUGUGAACUUUGCCAUUUUUUAAUUUGAACUUCUUAGUUUUAUUCUUAGAAAAAUGACUUUUACGUAAACAUCGUGCAACCUUUUCUUAUAUUGAACUUCAUACUUUAAUUUUGCAUAUAAACAAGAAGGAUUGUUUCUGAUAUUGUAAAUAAACAUCAAAUUUUACAGUUUUUCAUUUUUAAACUUCAUGGUUGAUUCUUUAAUAAUAAGGGAUAUCUGAGUUUUUUAAUAACGCUAACAUCCUAGUUUUUAAUAAACAUCAAACCACUUCGUUAUUUUGGUAUGAACUUCUCUGUUAUUUCAGUUUAAACCCCUAGGUUUUUAAGAAACGAGGAAAAUUCAAUUCUUUGUACAUUUUCAUCUACUCUAUUUUUUAAAUUUAAAUCUGUUAGUUAUUGUCUAGUAAGGGGGAAUCUAAGUGUGGUAGUAAACAAUGAAUCGCUCAGUAUUUAAAUUUGACUUCUAGAGUUAAAACUUGAACUUCUAAGUUUUUGAAUACUUUUUGAACUUCUUUUGUUGUUUUUAUUUUUGAGUUUUCAUAGAUAUUGAGCUUAUUCAUUUUUUUAUUUGAACUUCUUAGCUUUAUUGACUAGUAAUGUGAAAACCUUUUUAUAAACGUCGAACCGCUCCGUUUUAUAAACUAGAACUUCUACUUUUGUCUUGAUUUUUAAAUGUACCAAGUUUUUAGUUGACCUUCUCAGAUUUAUUUUUAAAAUGAAGGAAAUCUAUUUUUCUACAAACAUUUUUAACUACUUUUUUAUUUGAACUUCUUGCUCAAUUUUCUUUGAACUUCUCCAUUUGUAUUUUAGAUAUCAUGGACAAAAUUUGAUCAUGUAUGUACUAGUUAGCAUUUCCAUUUUUUUGAACUUAUCGUUUGUUGUUCUUGAACUUCCUCUUUUUGCGCUUGUGUUAUCUUAAUUUGAAGCUCCCCUUUUUCUUUUUAACAUGGAAAUCUAAGCCCUUUUAUAAACAUUGAAUGGCUCUCCUAUUUUCGUUCAAACUUCUUGGUUUUUAUUCUUUAGUGACGGGGAAAAUACGGGUAUUUUUGUAAACAUCGGACAACUCCGUUGGACUUCUUGAUUUUUAUUAUCUAGUAAUGGUGAAAAUCUGAGUUUUAUAACAAACACUUGAACUACUCCAUUAAUUUAAUUUGAACUUCUUUGUUUUUUAGAAAUGGGAAUGUGCUUUUUGUAUAAACUUUUGAUCUGCUCUAUAGUUUUAAUUUGAACUUCUUUGUUAUUUUUUAGAAACAUGGCAAUACAAGGUUUUUAUAAUCAUUGAACUCUUUUAUGUUUUUCCAAAUUGAAUAUCAUGAUUUUGUAGUUUUCAAACAGGAAAAAUCCAAAUAUUUUAUUCUUGUUAUUUAGACACAAGGAAAAUCUGAUUCUUUUAUUAACAUCGAACUGCUCGCCUUUUUACAUUUGAACCUCCUUGCUUUUUUUAGAAAAAAAUCAUUCUUCUAUAAACACAAAUUGUUGUCUAUUAUUUUUUAAGUCCAAGAAGCGGCGUCGCACGAUGCCGGGCAUGGGGAAGAUGAACGAAGCUGUCAAUUGGUAAAGCGGUGUCCGACAGGGUCGCCCCGGAGGACGGCGGCGGAGAACGACUCUGUCGGCCGUGAGCAGGAGGAAAUCCCCGCAUGCAACUUCCCAUGCCUCACACAAACUACUAACCAAACUCAUACAAACUCAAUACAAAAAUCGCACAAAGUCCUGCACCCAUGUUUCUGUGUAUCAAAUUAGAACAUAAUUAAAAGGGGGUAUAUUUCUACAGAAAUCCAAUCAGAAUCAUAUCUAUUUUUCUUGUGCAGAUAAUGAGAGAGAGAGGAACGUAAAAAAAGAAAGUGUCAGCUUGUACUAGCAGCACCAGUAGCAAAAUAUUGAGAGGAAGGUGGAAGCAACAGUAACACCAGGGAACAAUAGCACGGGGCAGCACCACUAGCAAGAGAGAGUGUGUGCAUCAACAGCAGCAGAACUGCGUCCGCAUGCGAGAACCCAGGAGCAGCUGUUGUUGCUCAUCCUCUCUCUCCCAUUCUCCCGGUCGAACAGACUGUUGAAGAGAACCAGCAGCCAUAGCGCCUUUGCAAAGAGAGCAAGUAAUAGAUGGAUCAAAGGUCAGCGGUACUGGUGCCAUGUGCUCGCUUGAACAGAGGAGAAAAUUAUGCUCACCCAACGAUCUUGAACUUGAACAGAGUAGAGGAGGAGAGGAAAAAUUCCAACCCCAAUGUAUUUGAACGGGUAAGGGACGGCCAACGCCGUGGGCACAUGAAGUUCAGCUCCUUCAGAUGGGGAAGAAGUAGGGUGGGGAACUGCACCGUAUCAGGGAGGGGAGGCGGAUGGGGCUUGGGCGGCGGGGGAGGAGCUCCAUGGCGGCGGUUGGAGGAUCUCAUCCACGCGGCGGGGCGGGGAUCUCACGGUGCAUGGGUGGGCGCGGUGGCGGGGAUCCAAUGCGCAUGUGGCACGUUGGUGGUGCCGGAGGACAGCGGGGUGGCGGCGUGGUCAUCGCAGCGGGCGGAUCCAGGGACGGCGGCGGAUGUAUCCCAGGGGCGGGGCGGCGCAGUGGUUGAAGCAGGGGGAGAUGGCCACCGCGGUCAAACCAGGGGAGGGGGGAGAUGGCUNNNNNNNNNNNNNNNNNNNNNNNNNNNNNNNNNNNNNNNNNNNNNNNNNNNNNNNNNNNNNNNNNNNNNNNNNNNNNNNNNNNNNNNNNNNNNNNNNNNNNNNNNNNNNNNNNNNNNNNNNNNNNNNNNNNNNNNNNNNNNNNNNNNNNNNNNNNNNNNNNNNNNNNNNNNNNNNNNNNNNNNNNNNNNNNNNNNNNNNNNNNNNNNNNNNNNNNNNNNNNNNNNNNNNNNNNNNNNNNNNNNNNNNNNNNNNNNNNNNNNNNNNNNNNNNNNNNNNNNNNNNNNNNNNNNNNNNNNNNNNNNNNNNNNNNNNNNNNNNNNNNNNNNNNNNNNNNNNNNNNNNNNNNNNNNNNNNNNNNNNNNNNNNNNNNNNNNNNNNNNNNNNNNNNNNNNNNNNNNNNNNNNNNNNNNNNNNNNNNNNNNNNNNNNNNNUGGUCUACCGCGGCGCGCUUCACCGGAGCCAGGGUCGUGGCCGGGGCCGGGGCCGGCGCCGGAAGGGGUGGGUUGGGGCGCCUCCGCGCAGAUAGUUGCGGGACGGCGGGUGGAGGGUGGGAGGUCGGGGUGUUGGGCGGAUCGGCAGCCGCGGCGGCGGUGCGCCGGGUGGGUAGGGAUCGAGGGGUGGGGAGAGUGAUAGGUGCGGGAGGUGCGGGACGGUAGUUAUUCUACUCCCAGGAUUAAAAUAGUGUCAUAUAUAUAUAUAUAUAUAUAUAUAUACAUAUAUAUAUAUAUAUAUAUAUAUAUUCCAGCAAUUUUUGGCCUUUUCUAGUCGAUCCCCUAAAUUUAAGGUUGUAAACUUCAAUUUGAUCAAGUUCAAAGUAGGUUCAACCGAAAGUAGCAUGCAUUCAAACAUAAACAUAGAUAGUUUUGCAUAACUGAAAAUAAAACGUAAAUUUAAACUAAGCUAAACUACUUUCGGUCGAAGUAGAGGUCGAGUCAAUCCUUCCUCGUCAUGUACGGUGUGCCGCGAGCCGGGUCCGGGCUAGUACCGUCGCGGUGUCGUUGGGGAAGGCACUCCUCCACUCGUCGAUGUCGAUCUCCUCAUCCUCGGGGCCCACCUCGACGCCCUCCGCGCCGCCGUCGUCGCCGCCUUCGACCUCAUCAUCAGAGGAGAGCAUGACAACCUCGCCGCCCUCCGCGCCGCCGUCGUCGCCGCCUUCGACCUCGUCAUCGGAGGAGAGCAUGAUAACCUCGCGCCCUCCGUGCUGGCAAAGAUCAUCCGCUCCGCCUCGACAAGCUUCGGGUGCUGCCGGCAGAGCUCUUGCAUGUAGGCCUCGUCGGCGGCCUCGACCUCGAGACGCUCCCACGCCUCGAGGUCCUCACGCGCCAUAGACUAGCUCACCACCCCUGGCUCCGGUGGAAUGAGGUGGACCGAACAUGUGCCGAAGGGGAAAUUGAGCCUAGCCGCCGCGCCAUGGUAGCGGACCUGCCAGCGAUCAUACUCCAUGGCUGCGAGCUCGGCCGUGUGGAAGCUAUCGAGCCACCAGCGGGUGUGGGUCUCUUGAUCUGUAAUCUCGGCGACCCACGUCCCCCAUCGUCGUUGUCGGACCCCGAGGUAGGACUUCGUCGGCUACCGGGUCCAGGGAGGACGGGGAACUCCUCGAACCAGCGUAGGGGCACGGCGGCGGGCGGAUCGGGCCCACGGAGGACGAUGGGGACACCUUGGCGGCCACCUCACCGACGUCGGGCGAAAAGGUCGCGAUAAACCUCUUUUUGGCCAUUGGCUACUCGAGCUCCCGGGCACACAGGCAGAGGUUGAGGAUGGAGGCACCGGCGAUGGCAGCGACCUACCAAUGGUUUUGAGGGUUGUGUGUGUCUGUGUGAGCGGAGGUUGUAUUUGAUGAAAUACUGCGGCAACUAAAAAUUUUACUAGGCGGGAGUAACAAGGCGGGGCUACUGAAAAUUUGGAUCAAGGGCGAGCAGAUAUUUUUGAGAUUGUGAGGGAUGCAUAGGCGAGAGUAAAAUGUCGGGGCUACUGAAAAUUUGAAUCAAGGGACUGAAGCAGAGCAGGAGUAACAGACAUCGCACACAGUCCGCACAUACUAAUCGUGUGCUAUCAAACAUUAAAACCUUCCAGGCGGUAGAUAUUUUCAAGAUUGCGAGGGAUGCAGAGGCGGGAGUUUUUGGGGAGUGAGCUCGUGUGCUUGACACGCCGGCUGUGGACUGUAGUUGACGCACCUUCUCGCGUAAGCCAUAGGCGUACUAUACACAAACGGUGCUCCAAGAUAUUUUGUACUACAUCUCACACGGUUGGUGAUAAUAAACUAUGUGGGGUCUACUUGAUUUGAAUUACAAAAUGGGGUCACAACGGCAAUGGGCGUUGUUUGAAUUACUAGACCUUUUAUCCGCAGUGAACAUGCAACUAUAUGUGUGUCGUAAAAGAAUUGGAAUUAUUCAGGAUUCGUUUGGACAUUUUAUACAAUAAAUUGGUUUUCUAGCCAUUUCACGUGCACCAUUUAAAAUUAAACUACAUGCACAUGCUCCGAUGCAUCCAAAUUGGUUGAAAAAUCAAAUCUGUGUCCUUCAGUGCAUGCUUAGGUCCCACGGAAGAAAUGGGAAUGAAUUUUUCGGGGUUCGUUUGGCCUUUUUUAUACAUUAACUGGGUUUUCUAGGCAUUUUUGUGCAUAAUUCAAAUUUGAACUACAAGCACAUGCUUCAAUGCACCAAAGUUGGUUGAAAAAUCACAUGUGUGUCCUUGGGUGAAUUUAUAGGUCCCAUGCAAGAGAUGGGAAUGAAUUUCAAACACCAGGGCACUGUUGAUUGCCGGCAAAACGUUGAGAUACCUGGUUUUUAAAUUCUAGUAAAUCCAGAACUCGUCUGAAAUUCAUGAAACUUGGCAUGCUAUGAUGGAGCGGCAUCAACAUGUCGUGGUGAAAAUUUUGUCCCAUUUGGGGCAGGUUUGGGUAUAAGCUUCUCACAAACUAGAGCUUCUCACAACAAGCAUGAUAGUUUCGAUAGGGAACGUACCACCUUUGGGGAUGGGACGAUAUCCAUUGCCUCUUAUUGCUUUCAAAAAAAAUCUAGUGUCAACAUAGAACAACAUGAGUGUUGUGUUUAAUCUUGAAAUUUUUCGGGGUUCAUUUGGCCUUUUUUAUACAUUAACUUGGUUUUGUAGGCAUAUUAUGUGCAUAAUUCAAAUUUGAACUACAAGCACAUGCUCCAAUGCACUAAAGUUGGUUGAAAAAUCACAUGUGUGUCCUUGGGUGAAUUUCUAGGUCCCAUGCAAGAGAUUUGAAUGAAAUUCAAACACCAGGGCACUGUUGAUUGCCGACAAAAUGUUGAGAGGCCUGAUUUUUAAAUUCUAGCAAAUCCAAAACUCUUAUGAAAUUCAUGAAACUUGGCAUGCUAUCAUGGAGCGGCAUAAACAUGCCGUGGUAAAAAAAAUUGUCCCAUUUGGGGCAGGUUCGGGUAUACGCUUCUCACAAACCAGAGCUUCUCACAACAAGCAUGAUGGUUUCGAUACGGAACGUCUCACCUUUGGUGACGAAGCGAUAUCCAUUGCCUCUUAUUGCUUUCAAUUUUUUCCUUGUUUCAACAUAGAACAACAGGAGUGUUGUGUUAAUUUUUGGGAUUUUUCGGGGUUCGUUUGGAUAUUUUUAUGCAUUAACUGAGUUUUCCAUGCAUUUAUGUGCAUAAUUCAAAUUUUAACUACAUGCACAUGCUCCAGUGCAUAUAAAUUGGUUGAAAAAUCAAAUAUGUGUCCUUGGGUGCAUGCUUAGGUCCCAUGCAAGAAAUGGGAAUGAAUUUCAAACACCAGGGCACUGUUGAUUGCCGGCAAAACAUUGAGAUGCCUGGUUUUCAAAUUCUAGUAAAUCCAAAACUCAUCUGAAAUUCAUGAAACUUGGCAUGCUAUCAUGGAGCGGCAUAAACAUGCCAUGGUAAAAAAAUUAUCCCAUUUGGGGGCAGGUUUGGGUAUAUGCUUCUCAUAAACUAGAGCUUCUCACAACAAGCCUGAUGGUUUCGGUAGGGAACGUAUGUCCCACCUUUGGGGAUGAAACGAUAUCCAUUGCCUCUUAUUGCUUUCAAAAAAUUUCUCGUGUCAACAUAGAACAACAGGAGUGUUGUGUCAAUUUUUGGGAUUUUUCAGGGUUCGUUUGGACAUUUUUAUGCAUUAACUGAGUUUUCUAGGCAUUUUAUGUGCAUAAUUCAAAAUUGAACUACAUGCACAUGCUCCAGUGAAUAUAAAUUGGUUGAAAAAUCACAUGUGUGUCCUUGGGUGCAUGCUAAGGUCCCAUGCAAGAGACGGGGAUGAAUUUGAAACACCAGGGCACUGUCGAUUACCGGCAAAACGUUGAGAUACCUGGUUUUUAAAUUCUGGUAAAUUCAAAACUUGUCUGAAAUUCAUGAAACUUGGCAUGCUAUCAUGGAGCGGCAUCAACAUGCCGUGGUGAAAUUUUUUUCCCAUUUGGGACAGGUUUGGGUAUAAGCUUCUCACAAACCAGAGCUUCUCACAACAAGCAUGAUGGUUUCGAUAGGGAACGUACCACCUUUGGGAACGGGACAAUAUAUGUUGCCUCUUAUUGCUUUCAAAAAAAUUCUAGUGUCAACAUAGAACAACAGGAGUGUUGUGUUUAAUAUUGGAAUUUUUCGGGGUUCGUUUGGCCUUUUUUAUACAUUAACUGGGUUUUGUAGCCAUUUUAUGUUCACAUUUCAAAUUUGAACUACAAUCACAUGCUCCAAUGCACCAAAGUUGGUUGAAAAAUCACAUGUGUGUCCUAGGGUGAAAUUCUAGGUCCCAUGCAAGGGAUUGGAAUGAAAUUCAAACACCAAGGCAUUGUUUAUUGCCGGCAAAACGUUGAGAUGCCUGGUUUUUAAAUUCUAGUAAAUCCAUAACUCGUCUAAAAUUCAUGAAACUUGGCAUGCUAUCAUGGAGCAGCAUCAACAUGCUGUGGUAAAAUUUUGUCCCAUUUGGGGCAGGUUCGGGUGUAAGCUUCUCACCAACCAGAGCUUCUCACAACUAGCAUGAUGGUUUCGAUAGGGAACGUCCCGCCUUUGGGGAUGAAACGAUAUCCAUUGCCUCUUAUUGCUUUCAAAAAAUUUCUAGUGUCAACAUAGAACAACAGGAGUGUUGUGUCAAUUUUUGUGAUUUUUCGGUGUUCGUUUGGAUAUUUUUAUGCAUUAACUGAGUUUUCAAUGCAUUUAUGUGCAUAAUUCAAAUUUGAACUACAAGCACAUGCUCCAGUGCACUAAAGUUGGUUGAAAAAUCGAAUCGGUGUCCUUGGGUGAAUUUUUAGGUCCCAUGCAAGAGAUGAGAAUGAAAUUCAAACACCAGGGCACUAUUGAUUGCCAGCAAAACAUUGAGAUGCCUGGUUUUUAAAUUCUAGUAAAUCUAUAACUCGUCUGAAAUUCAUGAAACUUGGCAUGCUAUCAUGGAGCGGCAUCAACAUGCCGUGGUAAAAAAAUUGUUCCAUUCGGGGCAGGUUCGGGUAUACGCUUCUCACAACUAGCAUGAUGGUUUCAGUAGGGAACGUCCCAUCUUUGGGUACGAAAUGAUAUCCAUUGCCUCUUAUUGCUUUCAUAAAUUUUCUCGUGUCAAGAUAGAACAACAGGAGUGUUGUGUCAAUUUUUGGGAUUUUUCGUGUUUGUUUGGACAUUUUUAUGCAUUAACUGAGUUUUCAAUGCAUUCAUGUGCAUAAUUCAAAUUUGAACUACAUGCACAUGCUCCAAAGCAUAUAAAUUGGUUUAAAAAUCAAAUAUGUGUCAUUGGGUGCAUGCUUAGGUCCCAUGUAAGAAAUGGGAAUGAAUUUCAAACACCAGGGCACCGUUGAUUGCCGGCAAAACAUUGAGAUGCCUGGUUUUUAAAUUCUAGUAAAUCCAAAACUCGUCUGAAAUUCAUGAAACUUGGCAUGCUAUCAUGGAAUGCCACCCGACAUGUUGUGGCAUUUUUCGUGUCCAUUUUGAGAGAAGGCACACUCGAAUAAUGACAGCCAACAAAGGCAUUUUGAAAAAAUAGCUGCCACUUUGAUAUCUCAAACGUUUGUAGAAUUCAAACCGUGUGUGUUCUUUUAACCAUUCACGUGACGCCACGUGUCUUAGUUUUAAUGGCUGUAGGAGGUGCCAUGCAGAUAGCUGCUUGACCUUGACUGAACAGGAGGCGUGCGAGCGUAGUCCGGUGCGCAAGCUCACCGAGAGGCGUGCAAGUUGUCCUCCAAUGCGCAGGCUCAUCGGGAAGCGUGUGUGUUAUACGCUGCGCAGGCUCACUGGGAAGCGAGCCCUUUGACUUCCAUGGCCGCCCGCCUUUCUCUCCAUUAAUGGCGCCCGAGCCCCUAUUUAAUACAGGUGGCCUUACUGUUCGCCUCCCAUUCCCCUCCCUCCCGUAGCCGCAGACCUCCACCAACGCCAUGCCGCAGAACGAUCAUCUGCCACUAGUCUUCAAGUUUGGUGAAGUCGACUCCGAGCCGGAGGAGAUAGAAAAUAAGGAGGAAUGGGGCCUCAUGGACAUGGCCCAGAACUAGCUGGCCGCGGCGGUUGCUACCCCCGCUCCCGUCCCCGCUCCCAUCCCCGUGCCCGCGCCAGCGACCAUCCCUAUAGCAUUGACGGGCUGGUCGCCGAGCACUAUCACAGAGCUGGAAGUCGCGAGUGUCAGCGAGGUCUCCGCGGACCCACGCGAGCUUGUGUACAUGCCAGCGCCCGUGCCCGUGCGCGCCCCUCCACCCACCGUGGCACCGGCCCCCGUGCGUUUGACUCCACCCAUGCUCGUGCCCGUGCGUGCACCCCCUUAGCGGCAUGGGAUGCUGCCGUCGACCGCUACCUCUCAGUGGCGCUAGUUGCCGUCCUCCCGUGCCCCGCCCGUCGAUCGCGCGACGACAUGAUGUUUGAUUUACAAGUGAAGAACAUUUUGUGCUGCCUUGAAGACUUCAACAACAGCGUCUCAGAGGACGACAACGACAACGACGGUGCGGCACGCCGCCACCGCGGAAAUAGUUUUUUUGGGGUUUAAUAUUGUAUCUCGAAUUCUCUAUCAUAUGAAUAUAAAUUCGUAGUGUGACUGAAUGAAAUAUAUGGUUUGAACAAACUUGCAUUUUUCUCUCUUAAUGUACAGACUCAUCAAACGAUUUUCCUUUGAAAAAAACGUCAAUGGUUUUUAAAUAUAAAACACUCAUCGCAAACAUUUUAGUUAGAACACCCGGAUGCAAACCGACAGCUUCCCCAAGAAGCCAAGGGAAAAUGUGCCGAGCAGGAUUUCUGCAUCCCUUCAACGCAAAUGGUUGUUUUGCAUGACCCGUGUGCAACCACGUACAAACAAUUGGGUAAGAUUUGCAUAUCUGUCAUUUUGGGUAUGUUUCCAUUUGUCAAACUGGAAAGAUUGACAUUUGUUUAUCUAGUAACAUUGCCAUUUGUCAACCUUGUAACAGUGCGAUUUGUCAAAAUAUGCAGCUAAAAAUCACUAGCACUAUCUAAUUUUUGCAACUAAAAUCACUAGCAUUGUUCAUAUGGACAUCACUAGCAGGCGUGAGUUGAUGGACGCAUAUGCAAAUGUACCAUUGGUUACAUACAACAACUCAUCAACCCACAACGACAAUGAGGAUACACGUUGGAUUAUAGAUCAUUUCCAACAAAACAUUCUAGUAAAGUUUUUAUCACACAACAAAUAAUAAAGCAAUAAAAUGAACUUCAUCUCAACCACUCGUCGGCGUUGGAAACGCUUGCUUUGAACCAGAAGUGAUUCUCUGGGAAGGGCCGACUACUGUCAAUCUCGAGACCAACGCAGGACUGAUCAUCCAGGCUGAAGUGGCCUAUGUCAGGACCCAUAUUGGGAUGGUAGUGAAGCAUAGCAAUGUCUGAGGUAUAGAUACAUUUGCUUCUCAUAAAUGGUAGUAACAUUGUGUCAACAGCAGCUGGAUUGCCUUCCACCAUCAUUGGAUAGUUUUGUCCAAGGAAGAGCGAGUUUCCUCCAAGACUUUCAAUACUGAACCAGGGAGAAGGUGUUGGCACUAGUACACUAGUAUCCAUCCCGAAUACCCUGCAACGGAUGUUGGAAUAGGUCCGGAGAGUGUGACCAUGCCAGACAACACUUGCUUCCUUAGUAACAUCAGUAGUGCCCUGUAUACAGACAAGAAGAAGAGGUGAUCCAUCAGAAUAAGUUGCCAGGCGCCACUGAGUAUAUGGGUCCGGCUCGUCCUUAUGCUCGUGAUCAUCAACAUCGUCAUCUCCCCCUUGGUUAUAAAAAUUUAAAAGUAUAGGUGGUGGAAUGUUCACAGGACCUUGGAAACACAAGAAGGUUAAUUAAUUAGUAAAGGGAAACUAGCUAACCCGCAUGCAUGUGGAUGAAGCAAUUAUAAUUACGGUGGAAGACAAACAUACUGAAAGCAUGACGAUUCCAUGCAAAAAUAGUGCCUAGAGUGGUGGCAACAAACACAAGACCCUCGUAUUGAAUUGCAUCACAGUACUCAUUCGUGUACAAAAAUUGAUUUUUGAGCAAUAUCCAUCAAGACGUGGAAGUAAGGAAGGCAACAAGCUUGUCGAAGAUAGCAAUAACUUCAUAGUUCGAGUAAUCCCAAGAGUGGCUGGGAACUCGACAAAUUGCUAUCUUCCAUAGACGACAGUCACCAUGAUCGUAUUUGAACUCACGUAGAAUACCGGUGUACUCAACCUCUGGGCAGUCGUCUGAGAUUUUUCGAAGUGGAACCUGGUGACGAGUGUACACAUUCGCAAGUUCCCACUCGCAGUUGUACCCAAUGUAAACAACCCAAUCUCCAUUUGCGCCUGCCCAAGCCUUGCCCUCAAGCGAUGGCAUCUUAACAUCAUACGUAUCAUUAUCAAGCGGCAUCAACCUGCACAAGGCGACGCUUCCCUCGUCCCCGUGCCAGUCAGCAGGGUCACGGCGAAGAAGAUAGGGGAGAUCAAACCGCUCCUGGACCCUUGGGUUCCUUAUAAUGAUGUUAUUAGUUGAGUCGAGAAUGGUCUUGAACGAACCUGCCAUACUAGCCGAGGUGAUGAUGUUGUGUUGGGGAUCGUAGCAGAAAUUUAAAUUUUUCUACGCAUCACCAAGAUCAAUCUAUGGAGUAAUCUAGCAACGAGGGGAAGGAGAGUGCAUCUACAUACCCUUGUAGAUCGCUAAGCGGAAGCGUUCAGGUGAACGGGGUUGAUGGAGGCGUACUCGUCGUGAUCCAAAUCACCGAUGAUCCUAGCGCUGAACGGACGGCACCUCCGCGUUCAACACACGUACGGAAUGGAGACGUCUCCCACGCCUUGAUCCAGCAACGAGGAGGGAGAGGUUGAGGAAGAGAGUCCAAUAGCAGCACGACGACGUGGUGGUGAUGGAGUGGCAGUUCUUUGGCAGGGCUUCGCCAAGCUCACGCAGAGGAGAGGAGGUAUUGGAGGGGAGGGGCUGCGCCAGGUUCAAGGGUGUGGCCGCCCUCCCACCCCUCCACUAUUUAUAGGUGGGGAGAGAGGGGGCCGGCCCCCCUUAGAUCCCAUCUAGGGUUGGGGGCGGCGGCCAGGGGGAGGAGUGCCUCCCAAGUCAAGUGGAGGCCCUCCCCCUUAGGGUUUCCCCUCUCCCAUGCGCAUGGGCCUUGGGGGGGCUGGUGCUUUGGCCCAUUAAGGUUAGGGCGCCCCCCUACAGCCCAUGCUGCUGUAUUGGACGUGGUGGAACAUUUUCCGGACCUCCGGACCCCUCUGGAAUCCUCCGGAACCUUCCGGAAGCUUCCCGGUACAAUACCGGAAAAAACCGAACUUUUCCCGGAACCCGAACAACAACUUUCCAUAUAUAAAUAUUUACCUCCGGACCAUUCCGGAACUCCUCGUGACAUCCGGGAUCUCAUCCGGGACUCCGAACAACAUUCGGUAAUCACAUACAAGUCUUCCUAAUAACCCUAGCAUCAUCGAACCUUAAGUGUGUAGACCCUACGGGUUCGGGAACCAUGCAGACAUGACCGAGACAACUCUCCGGCCAAUAACCAACAGCGGUAUCUGGAUACCCAUGUUGCCUCCCACAUGUUCCACGAUGAUCUCAUUGGAUGAACCACGAUGUCGAGGAUUCAAUCAAUCCCGUAUUCAAUUCCCUUUGUCUGUCGGUACGUUACUUGCCCGAGAUUCGAUCGUCGGUAUCCCGAUACCUUGUUCAAUCUCGUUACCGGCAAGUCUCUUUACUCAUUCCAUAACACAUCACCCCGUGAUCAACUCCUUGGUCACAUUGUGCACAUUAUGAUGAUGUCCUACCGAGUGGGCCCAGAGAUACCUCUCCGUUACACGAAGUGACAAAUCCCAGUCUCGAUUCGUGCCAACCCAACAGACACUUUCAGAGAUACCUGUAGUGUGCCUUUAUAACCACCCAGUUACGUUGUGACGUUUGGCACACCCAAAGCACUCCUACGGUAUCCGGGAGUUGCACAAUCUCAUGGUCUAAGGAAAUGAUACUUGACAUUAGAAAAGCUUUAGCAAACGAACUACACGAUCUUGUGCUAGGCUUAGGAUUGGGUCUUGUCCAUCACAUCAUUCUCCUAAUGAUGUCAUCCUGUUAUCAACGACAUCCAAUGUCCAUGGUCAGAAAACCAUAACCAUCUAUUGAUCAACGAGCUAGUCAACUAGAGGCUUACUAGGGACAUGGUGUUGUCUAUGUAUCCACACAUGUAUCUGAGUUUCCUAUCAAUACAAUUCUAGCAUGGAUAAUAAACGAUUAUCAUGAACAAUGAAAUAUAAUAAUAAUAACUAAUUUAUCAUUGCCUCUAGGGCAUAUUUCCAACAGUCUCCCACUUGCACUAGAGUCAAUAAUCUAGUUCACAUCGCCAUGUGAUUAACACACACAGGUCACAUCGCCAUGUGACCAACAUCCAAAGAGUUUACUAGACUGAAUAAUCUAGUUCACAUCACUAUGUGAUUAACACUCAAUGAGUUCUGGGUUUGAUCAUGUUAUGCUUGUGAGAGAGGUUGUAGUCAAUGGGUCUUUCCAUAUUCAGAUCCCUAUGUAUUUUGCAAAACUUUAUGUCAUAUCAUAGAUGCUACUACCACGUUCCACUUGGAGCUAUUCCAAAUUGUUGCUCCAUUAUAAGUAUCCGGUAUCUCUACUCAGAGCUAUCCGGAUAGGUGUUAAGCUUGCAUCGACGUAACUCUUUACGUCGAACUCUUUAUCAUCUCCAUAACCGAGAAACAUUUCCUUAUUCCUCUAAGGACAAUUUUGACCGCUAUCUGGUGAUCCAGUCCUAGAUCACCUUUGUACCCUCUUGCCAGACAUGUGGCAAGGCACACAUCAGGUGCGGUACUCAGCAUGGCAUAUCGUAUAGGGCCUAUGACAUGAGCAUAGGGGACGACCUUCGUCCUUCCUCUUUCUUCUGCCGUGGUCAAUCUUUGAGUCUUACUCAACUUCACACCUUACAACUCAGGUAAGAACCCCUUCUUUGACUGAUCUAUUUUGAACUCCUUCAAAAACAUGUCAAGGUGUGCAUUCUUUGAAAGUAUCAUCAGGCGUUUUUAUCUAUCUCUAUAGAUCUUGAUGCCCAAUAUGUAAGCAGCUUUAUCCAGGUCUUCCUUUGAAAAACACUCUUCAAACAACCAUUUAUGCUUUCCAGAAAUUCUACAUUAUUUCGGAUCUACAAUAUGUCAUCCACAUAUACUUAUCAGAAAUGUUGUAGUGCUCCCUCUCACUUUCUUGUAAAUACAAGUUUCUAGCAAACAUUGUAUAAACCUAAAAGCUUCAAUCACUCUAUCAAAGCACAUAUUCUGACUCCGAGAUGCUUGCUCUAGUCCAUAGAAGGAUCGCUGGAGCCAGCAUACCUUUUAGCAUCCUUAGGAUCGACAAAACUUUGAUUGUAUCACAUACAACUCUUUCUUACGAAAAUUGGUAAGAAAACUUGUUUUUGACAUCCAUCUGUCAGAUUUCAUAAUCGAAAAAUACAGCUAAUGCUAACAUGAUUCCGAUGGACUUAAGCAUCGCUACGGUUGAGAAAUUCUCAUCGUAGUCAACUCCUUGAACUUGUGAAAAGACUCUUUCCCACAAGUCGAGCUUCAUAGACGGUAACAUUUCCGCCCACGUCCGUCUUCUUCUUAAAGAUCCAUUUAUCUCAAUGGCUUGCCGAUCAUCGGGCAACGUGAUAUGCCAAUUUCUAUUUACCCUUCAUAAGGACCCUUUUUCAUCGAAUCCGAUCCGACUAAAGUGGGAGAGACAGACACCCGCUAGCCACCUUAUGCAACUAGUGCAUGUCAGUCGGUGGAACCAGUCUCACGUAAGAGUACGUGUAAGGUCGGUCCGGGCCACUUCAUCCCACGAUGUCGCCGAAUCAAGAUAAGACUAGUAACGGCAAGUAAAUUGACAAAAUCGAUGCCCACAACAACUUGUGUUCUACUCGUGCAUAGAAACUAUGCAUAGACCUAGCUCUGAUACCACUGCUGGGGAUCGUAGCAGAAAUUUAAAUUUUUCUACGCAUCACCAAGAUCAAUCUAUGGAGUAAUCUAGCAACGAGGGGAAGGAGAGUGCAUCUACAUACCCUUGUAGAUCGCUAAGCGGAAGCGUUCAAGUGAACGGGGUUGAUGGAGUCGUACUCGUCGCGAUCCAAAUCACCGGCAAGGUACUCCUACGGUAUCCGGGAGUUGCACAAUCUCAUGGUCUAAGGAAAUGAUACUUGACAUUCAGAAAAGCUACAGCAAACGAACUACAUGAUCUUUGAGCUAAGCUUAGGAUUGGGUCUUGUCCACAUCAUUCUCCUAAUGAUGUGAUCCCGUUAUCAAUGACAUCUAAUGUCCAUAGUCAGGAAAUCAUGACUAUCCUUUGAUCAACGAGCUAGUCAACUAGAGGCUCACUAGGGACGUGUUGUGGUCUAUGUAUUCACACAUGUAUUACGAUUCUGGAUAACACAAUUAUAGCAUGAACAAUAGACAAUUAUCAUGAACAAAGAAAUAUAAUAAUAACCAUUUUAUUAUUGCCUCUAGGGCAUAUUUCCAACACAUUCUCCUAAUGAUGUGAUCCCGUUAUCAACGACAUCCAAUGUCCAUGGUCACGAAACCGUAACCAUCUAUUGAUCAACGAGCUAGUCAACUAGAGGCUUACUAGGGACAUGGUGUUGUCUAUUGUAACGCCCUCGAUGCGGCUAUAUCUCCCACGUGUCGAAGCAUGACUUAGAGGCAUAACCGCAUUGAAAGCAAUGCCGCAAGUAAGGAAAUCUUCACACAACCCAUGUAAUACAUAAGGGACAGAGAUACAUAGUUGGCUUACAAUCGCCACUUCACACAAUUACAUGAAUAAAGCAUUACAACAUCCAAGUACAAUCAAGGCCCGACUACGGAGCCAAAAUAAAAGAAGAACCCCAAAUGCGACAAGGUCCCCGAUUGACCCCAACUGGGCUCCACUACUGAUCAACUGGAAAACAGGACAACACAAAGGACAAGAUCUUCAUCGAGCUCCUCCUGAGCUUGGUUGCGUCAUCAGCACGGUUCAAUGUCACCUGCAAGCUGGUUUUGGAAGUAUCUGUGAGCCACAGGGACUCAGCAAUCUCACAGCCUCGCGAUCAAGACUAUUUAAGCUUAUGGGUAAGGUAAAAGAAUGAGGUGGAGCUGCAGCAAGCGACUAGCAUAUAUGGUGGCUAACAUACACAAUUAAGAACGAGAAGAGAAGGCAAAGCGUGGUCGUGAAAGUAUGAUCAAGAAGUGAUCCUAAAACAACCUACGUCAAGCAUAACUCCAACAACCGUGUUCACUUCCCGGACUCCGCCGGAAAGAGACCAUCACGGUUACACACACUGUUGAUUCAUUUUAAUUAAGUUAAGGUUCAGGUUAUCUACAACCGGACAUUAACAAAUUCCCAUCUUGAAAGUGCGUUAUAUCGACUAGAGGGGGGUGAAUAGGCGAUUUUUAUGAAAGUCUUCAAAACAUGGAAGUUAUGAAGACAAACGAUAGAAAUAAACCUAUUACCAUGCAGCGGAAGGUAGACUACACUAGACAAGCCAUAGUCAAGUAUUCAAUGAAGUGAAAGCACAAUGACUUAAUAGCAGCAAUGUAGUAAGGAUCAGGUAGGAAGAUAUUAUGAAGCCAUACAGAACAUGCAGUCACUCAGUGAAGACAAAAGAUAGUGCAAACAUACAAUGACUUCACAAGGAGCAACAGUAAGUAAAGGGAAGGGAAGAUGAAACCAGUGACUCGUUGAAGACAAUGAUUUGUUGGACCAGUUCCAGUUGCUGUGACAACUGUACGUCUGGUUGGGGCAGCUAGGUAUUCAAACCUUAGGACACACAGUCCCGGACACCCAGUCCUGAACACGCAGCUCAGGACACCCAGUCCUCACCGUAUUCCCCUUGAGCUAAGGUCACACGGACCUCGCCCAAUCACUCUGGUAAGUCUUCAAGGUAGACUCCCAAAUCUUCAUAGACUUCGUUCACCGGCAAUCCAUAAUGUCUCUUGGAUGCUCAGAACGCGACGCCUAACCGGCUGGAGGAUGCACAGUCCUCAAGUGUAAUAAGUCUUCAGAUCACACAGACAAGAAGACUUAAGUGAUGCCCAAUUCUUUCUGGCUCUGGGUGGUUAGGGCUUUAUCCUUGCAAGGAAUUCUCUCUCAAAGGCUUCGAGGUGGGUUGCUCUCAAACGACAAAAGCCGUACUCUCAAUCUGAGCAGCCAACGGUUUAUAGUUGUGGGGGUGGGCUAUUUAUAGCCACUUGGCAACCCGACCUGAUUUGUCGGAAAUGACCCUGGGUCACUAAGGAACUGACACGUGUUCCAACGGUCAGAUUUCAAACUCACACGGCAACUUUACUUGGGCUAUAAGCAAAGCUGACUUGUCCGACUCUGGACAAGAUUCGCUCUCAUAGUCUUCACUCGAGGACAUAGGUUUUUGGUUAGGCAUCACUUCAGUCAGUCUGACUGGUUCUCUUGGACCCCGCUUAAUAGUACGGUGGUUCCUAUGACUCAACACAAAAGAAAAAGAACUACGAAAGAUCUAAGUCUUCGAGCUCCAUAGGCUUCAUGUGGUGUCUUCUCUUGUCAUAGUCUUCAAUGUGAAUAUCUUCAUAUACCACCUUUGACUUCAAUGUCUUCAUACAUUUUUAGGGGUCAUCUCUGGUAGGAAAACCGAAUCAAUGAGGGACUUCUACCUGUGUUAUCCUGCAAUUCUCACAAACACAUUAGUCCCUCAACUAGGUUUGUCGUCAAUACUCCAAAACCAACUAGGGGUGGCACUAGAUGCACUUACAAUCUCCCCCUUUUUGGUGAUUGAUGACAAACUAGUUGAAGUUUUCAACGGGGAAUAUAAUCUGUGAAAUUGUAAAGGAUAAGGAAUUGUCUUCAUAAGUUGCGAGGGCUCCCCCUGAAGAUGUGCAUAUAGGUAAUUUGCUUUUGGAAUGCAAAUGCACAUGGCAGGUUGUACUUGUGGAGAUCCACUUCAACUUAUGAUGACAAUCCACUAUGCAUGUGAAAGUAUAUGAAGAUAAUGACAUGCAUAAUGGAAAAUGGACGUCUGCAUAAUGAUCUAAGUGCGGAAUUUAUCGUCGCACAUGUGGAAUUUAUCAUCGCAAAACAAAGUGGCAGAUAAGUAGCAGACGGACAUCGAGUUUAAGUGUUACAACUCAAAGAACCAAAUGUAGCAAAACGAGAGUUGUAAGCACGAAGCAAAAUAU